GGGGGUGCCAGGUCUCGACUUCGGUCGUCGAGACGGGAGAAGCGAGCCGUGGUCUCCGGAGCCACGUAAAAGAGCCGGAAAACAAACACAAACGCCGACGACAACGUCGCGCUCGCUGCCUAAACCACAGCGAUGUCCGGCCGGUCCCAGCCCUGCGGGCCGGGUCCGGGCAUCAUCUCGCAGGGCUCACCUGACCGGCCUCGUCAACGGGUCGGACAGGGACACUUCAGUUGACUGGGGCUCCUCGCCGAUGCCGGCGACAGCGAGGAGCCCGAGAUCUCACCGCCGGCUGCGCUCGGAGAAGUCCCGUCGAGAAGCUGAAGGACGCGGGUUCGAUUCCCGCCACCUCCACCG
rnacentral:tmRNA from 1 species